AUUGAACGCUGGCGGCAUGCCUUACACAUGCAAGUCGAACGGCAGCACGGGGCAACCUGGUGGCGAGUGGCGAACGGGUGAGUAAUGCAUCGGAACGUACCGUUCAGUGGGGGAUAACGUAGCGAAAGUUACGCUAAUACCGCAUAUUCUGUGAGCAGGAAAGCAGGGGAUCGCAAGACCUUGCGCUGAUUGAGCGGCCGAUGUCAGAUUAGCUAGUUGGUGAGGUAAAGGCUCACCAAGGCGACGAUCUGUAGCGGGUCUGAGAGGAUGAUCCGCCACACUGGAACUGAGACACGGUCCAGACUCCUACGGGAGGCAGCAGUGGGGAAUUUUGGACAAUGGGGGCAACCCUGAUCCAGCCAUGCCGCGUGAGUGAAGAAGGCCUUCGGGUUGCAAAGCUCUUUCGGCCGGGAAGAAAUCGCACGGGCUAAUACCCUGUGUGGAUGACGGUACCGGAAUAAGAAGCACCGGCUAACUACGUGCCAGCCGCCGCCGUAAGAC
rnacentral:rRNA from 1 species